GUGGGAGCACGCUUAGGCGUGUGACUGCGUACCUUUUGUAUAAUGGGUCAGCGACUUAUAUUCUGUAGCAAGGUUAACCGAAUAGGGGAGCCGAAGGGAAACCGAGUCUUAACUGGGCGUUAAGUUGCAGGGUAUAGACCCGAAACCCGGUGAUCUAGCCAUGGGCAGGUUGAAGGUUGGGUAACACUAACUGGAGGACCGAACCGACUAAUGUUGAAAAAUUAGCGGAUGACUUGUGGCUGGGGGUGAAAGGCCAAUCAAACCGGGAGAUAGCUGGUUCUCCCCGAAAGCUAUUUAGGUAGCGCCUCGUGAAUUCAUCUCCGGGGGUAGAGCACUGUUUCGGCAAGGGGGUCAUCCCGACUUACCAACCCGAUGCAAACUGCGAAUACCGGAGAAUGUUAUCACGGGAGACACACGGCGGGUGCUAACGUCCGUCGUGAAGAGGGAAACAACCCAGACCGCCAGCUAAGGUCCCAAAGUCAUGGUUAAGUGGGAAACGAUGUGGGAAGGCCCAGACAGCCAGGAUGUUGGCUUAGAAGCAGCCAUCAUUUAAAGAAAGCGUAAUAGCUCACUGGUCGAGUCGGCCUGCGCGGAAGAUGUAACGGGGCUAAACCAUGCAC
rnacentral:rRNA from 1 species